rnacentral:rRNA from 1 species
GGCUCAGGAUGAACGCUGGCGGUAUGCCUAACACAUGCAAGUCGAACGGUCACUUCGGUGAUAGUGGCGGACGGGUGAGUAACGCGUGAGAAUCUGCCUCUUGGUUGGGGACAACAGUUGGAAACGACUGCUAAUACCCAAUGUGCCGCAAGGUGAAAGAUUUAUUGCCAAGAGAGGAGCUCGCGUCUGAUUAGCUAGCUGGUAGUGUAAGGGACUACCAAGGCAUCGAUCAGUAGCUGGUCUGAGAGGAUGAGCAGCCACACUGGGACUGAGACACGGCCCAGACUCCUACGGGAGGCAGCAGUGGGGAAUUUUCCGCAAUGGGCGAAAGCCUGACGGAGCAAUACCGCGUGAGGGAGGAAGGCUCUUGGGUUGUAAACCUCUUUUCUUAGGGAAGAACACAAUGACGGUACCUAAGGAAUAAGCAUCGGCUAACUCCGUGCCAGCAGCCGCGGUAAUACGGAGGAUGCAAGCGUUAUCCGGAAUUAUUGGGCGUAAAGCGUCCGUAGGUGGUUUUUCAAGUCUGCUGUCAAAGACCGUGGCUUAACCACGGAAAGGCAGUGGAAACUGAGAGACUAGAGUUCGGUAGGGGUAGCGGGAAUUCCCAGUGUAGCGGUGAAAUGCGUAGAUAUUGGGAAGAACAUCGGUGGCGAAGGCGCGCUACUGGACCGAAACUGACACUCAGAGGACGAAAGCUAGGGGAGCGAAAGGGAUUAGAUACCCCUGUAGUCCUAGCUGUAAACGAUGGAAACUAGGUGUGGCUUGUAUCGACCCGAGCCGUGCCGAAGCUAACGCGUUAAGUUUCCCGCCUGGGGAGUACGCACGCAAGUGUGAAACU